UCCAAUACUCUAACUCCGGUCUGUCUGUAGGUCCUAGCUGACUACAUUAACGGCUCCAUUCCAAUACGCUAACUCCCGUCUGUCUGUAGGUCCUAGCUGACUACAUUAACGGCUCCAUUCCAAUACUCUAACUCCGGUCUGUCUGUAGGUCCUAGCUGACUACAUUAACGGCUCCAUUCCAAUACUCUAACUCCCGUCUGUCUGUAGGUCCUAGCUGACUACAUUAACGGCUCCAUUCCAAUACUCUAACUCCGGUCUGUCUGUAGGUCCUAGCUGACUACAUUAACGGCUCCAUUCCAAUACUCUAACUCCCGUCUGUCUGUAGGUCCUAGCUGACUACAUUAACGGCUCCAUUCCAAUACUCUAACUCCG